rnacentral:rRNA from 1 species
CCUACGGGGUGCAGCAGUGAGGAAUAUUGGUCAAUGGACGCGAGUCUGAACCAGCCAAGUAGCGUGAAGGAUGACUGCCCUAUGGGUUGUAAACUUCUUUUAUAUGGGAGUAAAAUGUUCCACGUGUGGGAUUUUGUAUGUACCAUAUGAAUAAGGAUCGGCUAACUCCGUGCCAGCAGCCGCGGUAAUACGGAGGAUCCGAGCGUUAUCCGGAUUUAUUGGGUUUAAAGGGAGCGUAGGUGGAUUGUUAAGUCAGUUGUGAAAGUUUGAGGCUCAACCGUAAAAUUGCAGUUGAAACUGGCAGGCUUGAGUACAGUAGAGGUGGGCGGAAUGUGUGGUGUAGCGGUGAAAUGCUUAGAUAUCACGAAGAACUCCGAUUGCGAAGGCAGCUCACUGGACUGCAACUGACACUGAGGCUCGAAAGUGUGGGUAUCAAACAGGAUUAGAUACCCGAGUAGUC